UAAACAGGUUUCGUAGGGGAACCUGCGGAAGGAUCAUUGUCGAAACCUGCAAAGCAGCAACGACCCGCGAACAUGUUGUGAAAAUAAAGGGUUUGUGCCGGGCACUGCCAUGGCGCGCUCUCCUUAUGGGGGCCGGUGCGGAAGGGAGUGGUGGGCUUGUUCCAUCCUUCGUUGUGCGUUGUCCUCCCAACAAACAAAACCCCGGCGUGAAAUGCGCCAAGGAAUUGGAAAUGAAAAGAGAAGGGAACGAGUGCCUUAGCGUGCCGGGAACGGAGUUCGCAAGGGUGGCCAGUUCUCUAUUCGAAAACUAAAUGACUCUCGGCAACGGAUAUCUUGGCUCUCGCAUCGAUGAAGAACGUAGCGAAAUGCGAUACUUGGUGUGAAUUGCAGAAUCCCGUGAACCAUCGAGUUUUUGAACGCAAGUUGCGCCCGAAGCCUUAGGGUAGAGGGCACGUCUGCCUGGGUGUCAUGUAUCGUUGCCCCCAUCCAACUUCCCUUUGUGGGGAGACCGGACUAGGGGCGGAAAAUGGUCUCCCGUGUGCUACUGCUCGUGGUUGGCCAAAAUCUGAGUCGUUGGUGACGGUGCCACGGUAAGCGGUGGUUGAUAAAACCUUCGGAAAAUAUCGUGGCCAAGCCAACAAAAGGCUUCGAGACCCUAUUCACUCCCAACAGCGACCCCAGUCAGGCGGAUUACCCGCUGAUUUUAA
rnacentral:rRNA from 1 species